AUGCUGAUUUGGGGUCAGGACAGGCCUCGCAGCGGGCUCACUGAGCAGCCUGCUGGGCCCUGCGCUUAUCCUGCCCCGCGCCUCACUGCGGCCUUCCCAGUGCCCAGCGCCAACAGGCCAGCAGCAGCACCCGGCUUUUUUGCUGCCAUUUCCUUCUAUUUUCUUAUUUUUCGUCCCCUCCGCCGUGCCCGGCGCUGCGCCCUCCGGCCGGCAGAGCGCGGCAGCGGGCAGGAAGGGGCAGGGGCCGCUUCCCCCCUGCCUCGGCCCGGGGCGCCGAAUGGCCGCCUAGCGCAGGGCCUGCACCGCCUCCUGCUCUUCUUCCUCCUCCUCUUCUUCAUCCUCCUCCUCCUCGUCCUCGUCCUCGUCAGCCGCCGCCAUGGGCCGCGAGUCCAGGCAUUAUCGGAAGCGCUCCGCGUCACGGGGACGCUCUGGCAGCCGGUCUCGAAGUCGUUCUCCCUCUGACAAAAGGGGAAAACGUGGCUGAAGACAGACGCUCUAGGAGCAGAGAUCGGGAGCGCAGACGUGAGAGGUCACGCAGCAGGGACAAGAGAAGAUCUCGAUCGCGUGACAGGAAGCGUCAAAGGUAGGAGUUACAAAUUCCAGUCACAGCACAUAAAAAAUUCUGUCAUCUGAACACUGACGUUCUUCCUCAAUCAAUCAAAUCAAAGUUAUUUACUUUGUUGUAGUCCAUGAUAGAUUUUACUGUGCUUAAUGUUUUUGCUUGUUAGAUGAUGUCUUGGUGCUAGACUUUGUUAGCUCUUUGUGGUCUUGAUGAUUGUUGGAUUCCUUUUACAAGGGUUCAUCAAUAGCAGGCUAAAAUUGUGUUAUGAUCACAUGCUAAAUAAAUACAAUUUUGUUCUGGGGCAGACGUUCGAGAAGUAGAGAGAGGGAACGAAGUCGGGAGAGAAGAAGAUCCCGCAGCCGAGAGAGAAGGCGCUCUAGAAGCAGAAGUAGAGGUAGACGGUCUCGAUCCCCCAGCCCAAGCAAGAACAGGAAAACAGAAAACAGGUAUUUGUGUUCUUGAAUUACAGUCCAUAUCACAGUGACAAAGUACUGCAAAACUAUUGGUAUAAUGGAAGGAAUCCUCAGGCAAAACUACCAAAAGCUUUGCUUUGUAGAACAAGGAGAAUAUUCGAUGAAUGUACAGUUAUGAUCUUUUCCUAUCACUUAAUGUGCUUUGAUGCAUCAAAUAUUUUUAGAUUUCUUACUUCAAGGUGUGCAAAUACUAAUGUGUGUAUGUAUUUAUUAUUUCUAAUACACCUUGUUGUAAGAACGGUUCUAUAAAAGAAGAAGAUCCAAGCG
rnacentral:lncRNA from 1 species